UUGUCAGGUUUACCAUGUGACCCCUUUUCCGUCCACACUGGUAACAAACAGAAAUACAGACAUUGUUGUCAGUGUACUACUACUGGCCUCACACAAAUCCCCAAACUUGCUUUCCAUACCCUCUGGGGCACAUAUACACUCACACUUUUCUUGACACACAGCUUUCUGUGCAGCACAAAACUCAAGAAUCAGCAGCCUGCCUGCUCUCCUGUACUUUCUUCGAUUGGAGGAGAAACAGCCAGGCCCUGUGAGGACAAACUUUGGACCUAAUCGCCCUGACCUGAGCUCCGGUCCAGGUUGCUGACCUGCUCAGGGGAGGCAAGACCAGCUCCCUGGAGAACCAGGCAGAAUAUUCUAGGAGCUCGAGGUGAAAGGGGUCACAGCACCAGCUGCCAUACCCUCUACCAGUCUGCUCACUGGGUUUUGCCCAAAGGGAGUCAAGGUCACUACCUCCCUAUGCGAUGCCUUUCAGCUGUUCCCAAGAUAAAACUCCCUGAAGGGGAACCUGAGGAUCAGAGAGGGGAAGGGACUUGCCCAGGACCACACAGCAGAACCAGGACUCAAACUCAGCUCUUCUGAUGCCC